rnacentral:rRNA from 1 species
AUUGAACGCUGGCGGAAUGCUUUACACAUGCAAGUCGAGCGGCAGCGCGGGGGCAACCCUGGCGGCGAGCGGCGAACGGGUGAGUAACAUAUCGGAACGUACCCCGUCGUGGGGGAUAACACAGCGAAAGCUGUGCUAAUACCGCAUACGACCUGAGGGUGAAAGCGGGGGAUCGCAAGACCUCGCGCGAUGGGAGCGGCCGAUAUCGGAUUAGCUUGUUGGUGAGGUAAAGGCUCACCAAGGCGACGAUCCGUAGCUGGUCUGAGAGGACGACCAGCCACACUGGAACUGAGACACGGUCCAGACUCCUACGGGAGGCAGCAGUGGGGAAUUUUGGACAAUGGGGGCAACCCUGAUCCAGCCAUUCCGCGUGAGUGAAGAAGGCCUGGUUGUAAGCUCUUUCAGCAGGAACGAAA